ensembl:snoRNA SNORD14 Small nucleolar RNA SNORD14
UCGCUGUGAUGAUGAUGAUUUUCCUGCCAUUCGUAGUUUCCACCAGAGGUUUAAACACCAAAGAUGGUUCAAAUCUUCCUUGGAUGUCUGAGCGA